GGAUAGGAGGGAGGAGCUGGCUACAUCUGUCGCCCCAGCGAUCCCAGGGCUCCUUCAGCUGAUCUGGCUUCCCAGAUGUCACCUUCCACCCUCCCCAUUCCAUAUAAAACCCUCUCAAAGCCACACCCUUGAACUAUCAUUUUUCAGUCAAGGUAUACGAAUAACAAUGAUCCCCUGGUAAAACAUCCAGAGAGGAUCUCAAAGUCCACAGACGAUAUGGGGUUGACAGCGUCCAGACACAUCCCAAAUGAAGUGCUACCCGUGGCAGUCCACCUUUCUUU
ensembl:misc_RNA 7SK 7SK RNA